rnacentral:rRNA from 1 species
AACGAACGCUGGCGGCAUGCCUAACACAUGCAAGUCGAACGAGAUCUUCGGGUCUAGUGGCGCACGGGUGCGUAACGCGUGGGAAUCUGCCCUUUGGUUCGGAAUAACAGUUGGAAACGACUGCUAAUACCGGAUGAUGACGAAAGUCCAAAGAGUUAUCGCCGGAGGAUGAGCCCGCGUAGGAUUAGCUAGUUGGUGUGGUAAAGGCGCACCAAGGCGACGAUCCUUAGCUGGUCUGAGAGGAUGAUCAGCCACACUGGGAAUGGGACACGGCCCAGACUCCUACGGGAGGCCGCAGUGGGGAAUAUUGGACAAUGGGCGAAAGCCUGAUCCAGCAAUGCCGCGUGGGUGAUGAGGGCCUUAGGGUUGUAAAGCUCUUUUACCCGGGAUGAUAAUGACAGUACCGGGAGAAUAAGCUCCGGCUAACUCCGUGCCAGCCGCCGCAGUAA